CAAAACUCAUUGAAAAGAAGAGUACACAAGCAGACAUUUAAACCCAGUAUAUUUACGUGGGAACCAGAGAGCUUUCAUUUGGUGGAAGAAAGCAAAUGAAGACUUGUCGAAAAUGAUCUUGGAGAGGAAAAGUCAUUAGUGAUUUUUACGGCUGCUACCGUUAGCAAAGCACCAAAUCAAGAAGUUAUUCGGCGUUUGGAUUAAGAUGGAAGUUAUUUCCAAUAAAGGUGGUACCGCGAUAGUCGCCCUUUAC
rnacentral:ncRNA from 1 species